UACGUAGGGUGCGAGCGUUGUCCGGAAUUACUGGGCGUAAAGGGUGCGUAGGCGGUCUUUCAAGCCAGAAGUGAAAGGCUACGGCUCAACCGUAGUAAGCUUUUGGAACUGUAAGACUUGAGUGCAGGAGAGGAGAGUGGAAUUCCUAGUGUAGCGGUGAAAUGCGUAGAUAUUAGGAGGAACACCAGUGGCGAAGGCGACUUACUGGACUGUAACUGACGCUGAGUCACGAAAGCGUGGGUAGCAAACAGGAUUAGAUACCCCGGUAGUCCCUGAG
rnacentral:rRNA from 1 species